UCCCCCUCUAGCUUCAAGAUUCAAAAUACAGUGUCCCUCGACCGACCCUAACUCGAUAGUGCCAGUAAUUCGAGGGAAGGAUCCAAAACAAAGAAAAAUCAAUCCUUCUAUCCAUGAACCGAAGAAGGGGCCCCUUUUAUCAAAGUAGGGGCACCAUUUAGGAGAGAGAUAUACCACCAGUCACACCUCUUCAAGAUAAAGAAGAAUCGAA
rnacentral:lncRNA from 1 species